UACGUAGGUGGCGAGCGUUGUCCGGAAUUACUGGGUGUAAAGGGCGUGUAGGCGGGGGCUCAAGUCGGAUGUGAAAUACCGUGGCUCAACCACGGGGCUGCAUCCGAAACUGUGCCUCUUGAGUACCGGAGAGGAAAGUGGAAUUCCCAGUGUAGCGGUGAAAUGCGUAGAUAUUGGGAGGAACACCAGUGGCGAAGGCGACUUUCUGGACGGUAACUGACGCUGAGGCGCGAAAGCGUGGGGAGCAAACAGG
rnacentral:rRNA from 1 species